CCUACGGGAGGCAGCAGUGAGGAAUAUUGGUCAAUGGGCGAGAGUCUGAACCAGCCAAGUCGCGUGAAGGAUGACUGCACAAUGGGUUGUAAACUUCUUUUGUCUGGGAAUAAAAUGUUCCACGUGUGGGCGUUUGUAUGUACCAUAUGAAUAAGGAUCGGCUAACUCCGUGCCAGCAGCCGCGGUAAUACGGAGGAUCCGAGCGUUAUCCGGAUUUAUUGGGUUUAAAGGGAGCGUAGGUGGAUUGUUAAGUCAGUUGUGAAAGUUCGCGGCUCAACCGUAAAAUUGCAGUUGAAACUGGCAGUCUUGAGUACAGUAGAGGUGGGCGGAAUGCGUGGUGUAGCGGUGAAAUGCUUAGAUAUCGCGAAGAACUCCGAUUGCGAAGGCAGUUCACCGGACUGCAACUGACACUGAGGCACGAAAGUGUGGGUAUCGAACAGGAUUAGAUACCCUAGUAGUC
rnacentral:rRNA from 1 species